AGGGUUUGAUUAUGGCUCAGAUUGAACGCUGGCGGCAUGCCUUACACAUGCAAGUCGAACGGCAGCGGGGGAGCUUGCUCCUGCCGGCGAGUGGCGAACGGGUGAGUAAUGCAUCGGAACGUGUCCUGUUGUGGGGGAUAACUGAUCGAAAGAUCAGCUAAUACCGCAUGAGACCUGAGGGUGAAAGCGGGGGAUCGCAAGACCUCGCGCGACAGGAGCGGCCGAUGUCUGAUUAGCUAGUUGGUGAGAUAAAAGCUUACCAAGGCGACGAUCAGUAGCUGGUCUGAGAGGAUGAUCAGCCACAUUGGGACUGAGACACGGCCCAG
rnacentral:rRNA from 1 species